UACGGAGGAUCCAAGCGUUAUCCGGAUUCAUUGGGUUUAAAGGGUGCGUAGGCGGAAUGAUAAGUCAGCGGUGAAAUCCCUCGGCUUAACCGAGGAACUGCCGUUGAUACUGUCAAUCUUGAGUACAUUUUGAUGUGGGCGGAAUGUGUCAUGUAGCGGUGAAAUGCUUAGAUAUGACACAGAAACACCGAUUGCGAAGGCAGCUCA
rnacentral:rRNA from 1 species